UACGGAGGGGGCUAGCGUUGUUCGGAAUCACUGGGCGUAAAGGGCGCGUAGGCGGCUUGGCAAGUCAGGUGUGAAAGGCCUGGGCUCAACCCAGGAACUGCACUUGAGACUGCCUCGCUUGAGUCCGGGAGAGGAUGGCGGAAUUCCCAGUGUAGAGGUGAAAUUCGUAGAUAUUGGGAAGAACACCGGUGGCGAAGGCGGCCAUCUGGACCGGUACUGACGCUGAGGCGCGAAAGCGUGGGGAGCAAACAGG
rnacentral:rRNA from 1 species